CGGGUCGUAAAACUCUGUUGUUAGGGAAGAACAAGUACAAGAGUAACUGCUUGUACCUUGACGGUACCUAACCAGAAAGCCACGGCUAACUACGUGCCAGCAGCCGCGGUAAUACGUAGGUGGCAAGCGUUAUCCGGAAUUAUUGGGCGUAAAGCGCGCGCAGGCGGUUUCUUAAGUCUGAUGUGAAAGCCCACGGCUCAACCGUGGAGGGUCAUUGGAAACUGGGGAACUUGAGUGCAGAAGAGAAAAGCGGAAUUCCACGUGUAGCGGUGAAAUGCGUAGAGAUGUGGAGGAACACCAGUGGCGAAGGCGGC
rnacentral:rRNA from 2 species